UAGUGUCACGCCGGAUGAACGGAAAUCAUUGAUGUUGAUUAAUAUGGGAUGAUAAAAUUCUCUGAUACUAA
rnacentral:tRNA from 1 species